UGAACACAAGUUAAUAUAAGACGGUAAAUCCUUACUGGAAUGACAAGAGGCAAGUAGUGUGGAUUAUGUAACACGGCUGAGAGAGGCGUCAUCCCUUGCCUGCUAGCCUCUACGCUGGCCUGACGACCAGGCUGAAGGCAACUCCGUGACUCCCAUUCCAUCUGUUCAUGGAUCAUCUUACAUUUUCAUGCAUUAGUGGUGAAUACCUACACAUUUUAUGCUUGAAAUGUGUUUAAUAGGUGUGUGAGGCAUAUUUAGGGUUUAAACCCGCAUUAUGUCAUGAAUGAACAAUGAACACUCCUGCAGCCAGUUGCUGAUUAGUGCGCUUUUAUAGGCUCUGUGGCGAUCUUCUGUCCAAGUGUAUCUCAGGAUUCCGUGCACAAUGUUGCAAAUACAGUUGCUCUUCCUCCUUGCCAGCUUUUGUCCUUUUUGGUAUACUCCUUUUACUAGCACUUUCUGCAGUAUCUUUUCAUGAUUUGAUGUUGCUUCUCCCUGCCUAGCUCUACUCUUGCGAAAGUAACCGUCAAACUCUUUAGUGUUUUUCAAUGGUGUCUAUUUGCUUUUGAUUUUCCCCAGCACCGUAGUUUUGGUUGUUUUUCCCCUUUCAAGACUUUUUGUUAUCUGUAAGCUUUAGUGUCACAUUAUGUUCGCUUGUCUAAUGCAUAUCAUCUCUGAUUGUUUCCCUUUUUUUUUUUUUUUUUAAGAUCAAUGAGCUUCCGGUCUUGGGCGGCACCACACGACACACCUGUUCAUCAUUGCCUAUGCCGAACUUAUUCGCGUGAUGCGCAGGUCAUGAGGUUCUCCAGUUUCUGCUAGUACCAAUCCAAAGCCUAACUUGCUAAGUAUUAAUGUAUAUAUGUAAUGCUUCGAAGUUAAAGGUUUACAGUUUUUUUUCCAAUUGCUAAAACACAAUUUUGAAAACUAGGUUUGUUUUAUUAAAUACUUAAAGGCCCGGUCACACCGCCUGAACUUUGUUGUAGCGUCCCUGGAGCGGUGAAAAAAUUCAUCACCGCUCGUAACCGCGCACAAAAUGUCCUAGUGGCGCACCGCUGAAGCCGGCGUUGCUUUAGCGGUGGUUUAGCGGUAGCGAACCUUGGUUUAGCGGUGAUGCGAGCGUUGAUAGAGCGGCGUUCUGCGCAUGCGGGCGUUGGCUCGGCGGGAGUAUAAAGUUGGUAUAACGCCAUUCCGCUUUUGACGAUGGAGCUGAACGGACCGCUAGUUCUACAUUUUUGAUCGAAGUCGAAGUUCAUCAUGACACGGAGACAAAAUAGGAAGAAAGCUGGAGAAGGAAAGGCAGCAGCCCCCAAGAAGAUGUACCUUUUGAUGGCAGCUGAACCAAUGGAGUCAGACCAGUCAGGCCACACCCAUCGCCACUUGUAGUACAGCCACAGCCACUGCUACCACAGCCCAGGCAGGGGCAGCUGCCGAUGAAGACUUUGAUGAUGAGACCGAGGAGGCCUUGACACAGGACCAGCCUGACGAUGAGGAGCAACCCCCUGGUGAUGACCAACCUGAGAAGGGCCGUGCUGCUGCUGGUGCUGAAGACUCCGACUCUCAGCACCCACACUUGGAGAGGGACGAUGAACAGCGUCAGCCUCAGAAAAAGUCUCGCCACAAGGCCCUCCUGCUUGACAAUGACACUCAGGAGCAACCCUUUGAGUGUUCCGGGAGCAUGAACUUUUGAGGAGGAAGGGGGCCACCGACUACAAGGAUACAAAGAAGAAGACGGAGCUUUGGACCAGGAAGGCAAGAGAGCUGGACAUUGAGGAGGGAGCUGAAGCUGUCAGGACAUGGUGGAAGUCAGUCCGGGACCUCUACACUAAGCUUCUCUCCAAGAAGUCUGGCCAGGCUGCACCGAACUUGACGGACAGGGAGCUGUUCAUACAGAGGAACUGCGCCUUGCUGCACCAGGAGGUGAAGCCCAGGAAAGGUCAGCCACUGAGAAGCAUACCCCUCACACAGGAACCUUUAGCCAGCCAGCCUCCAGCAGCCCAGCCAUCCGCUCUAUUCUAUAUCUAUGGAGUCGACUAUUACUCAAUACUCCAUUGUUUCUUUUUCUCAUACACUCUAUUGUUCCAUUUCACAGACACUCAAACAUUAAUUUUUAAAUCCAAAAUCCAAACUGUACUACUUCUAUUUUUUUGUGACGCCCUUAUUUGGUACCACACUCACAGGAUGUGCUAUUAUUUUGAAGGCGGGAAAUGUUGUGGUGUGUGUUGAGGUGACUUGAUGGU